GCCCUACGGGGGAAAAAUUUAUUGCUAUUAGAUGAGCCUAUAUUAGAUUAGUUAGUUGGUGAGGUAAAGGCUUACCAAGACAAUGAUCUAUAGCUGAUCUGAGAGGAUGAUCAGCCACACUGGAACUGAGAUACGGUCCAGACUCCUACGGGAGGCAGCAGUGGGGAAUAUUGGACAAUGGGCGAAAGCCUGAUCCAGCCAUGCCGCAUGAGUGAAGAAGGCCUUCGGGUUGUAAAGCUCUUUUAGUGAGGAAGAUAAUGACGGUACUCACAGAAGAAGUCCUGGCUAACUCCGUGCCAGCAGCCGCGGUAAUACGGAGAGGGCUAGCGUUAUUCGGAAUCAUUGGGCGUAAAGGGCGCGUAGGCGGGUUAGUAAGUUAAAAGUGAAAUCCCAAGGCUCAACCUUGGAACUGCUUUUAAAACUGCUAGUCUAGAGAUUGAAAGAGGAUAGAGGAAUUCCUAGUGUAGAGAUGAAAUUCGUAAAUAUUAGGAGGAACACCAGUGGCGAAGGCGUCUAUCUGGUUCAAAUCUGACGCUGAGGCGCGAAGGCGUGGGGAGCAAACAGGAUUAGAUACCCUGGUAGUCCACGCUGUAAACGAUGAAUGUUAAAUAUGGGAAGUUUACUUUCUGUAUUAUAGCUAACGCGUUAAACAUUCCGCCUGGGGACUACGGUCGCAAGAUUAAAACUCAAAGGAAUUGACGGGGACCCGCACAAGCGGUGGAGCAUGUGGUUUAAUUCGAUGCAACGCGAAAAA
rnacentral:rRNA from 1 species